GUGUCAAGACAGGGGCGCCGAAAGGCUGAGAUGCGUAUGCGGUCCCUUCGACCUGAUCUAGAUAAUACUAGCGUAGGGAGUCUCUAUUUUUUUCCU
rnacentral:ncRNA from 2 species